GCACGAUCGCCGAAGUUAAGCAACGUCGAGCCAGAUCAGUACCCAGAUGGGUGACCGCUUGGGAAUGGCAGGUGCUGUAAG